UACAGAGGGGGCAAGCGUUAUUCGGAAUUAUUGGGCGUAAAGGGCGCGUAGGCGGCAUGGCAAGUGGAUGGUGAAAUCCCUCGGCUUAACCGAGGAACUGCCGUCCAAACUGCCUCGCUUGAGACCGGGAGAGGUGAGUGGAAUUCCCAGUGUAGCGGUGAAAUGCGUAGAUAUUGGGAGGAACACCAGUGGCGAAGGCGGCUCACUGGACCGGUACUGACGCUGAUGCGCGAAAGCGUGGGGAGCAAACGGG
rnacentral:rRNA from 1 species